AAAAUACUAUAUUUAGUGCCUUGGUUGUGUUGUAGCUAUGUCCCUUGAAUAUGCACAUGUUCUUCCCCACCUCAUCUUAGGCUUCUGCUACAGUCUGAGAAAGUGGAGCAAACAUUUUUAUUUUUUUUACAUUUUAAUUAAAAUUUAAAUUAAUUUUAAUGUUAAUUAAUUUUUAAUGUGCAGUGUUCAUAGGAAUUCAUUCAUAUUUUUUCAAACUAUAGUCCGGGCCCCCAACAGUCUGAGGGACAGUGGACUGGCCCCGUUUAAAACGUCUGAGGACCCCUAUCUUAAUUGUGAUGUCA